GUGUAGCUGAGUUAAUUUUAUUUAUUUAUUAUUUUAUGAACCUUCCCAAAACAUUUUUAUUUCUAUUUUGUCGAAUUAACAUGUCUGCUGACAUGGCUAUUUCUGUUUUGACUGCUUUUAUUUUUGGUUCCUAAUGUAAAUAUUGUUUUGGGGGAAACGUUAUUAGUGUUGCACAAAGCAAUGUUCAGUGACGUAGCUGCAGCAGCCAGGCAGAGGCUGCCUAACGGAGCUGCUGGACUGUGACAGUGAUCGUCUAUCAUACCUGGUGCUGAGUGUGUUCCACUGUCUUAUAGGUAU